UGGGGAAUAUUGGACAAUGGGCGCAAGCCUGAUCCAGCCAUGCCGCGUGAGUGACGAAGGCCUUAGGGUUGUAAAGCUCUUUCGGCGGGGAAGAUAAUGACGGUACCCGCAGAAGAAGCCCCGGCUAACUCUGUGCCAGCAGCCGCGGUAAUACAGAGGUGGCAAGCGUUGUUCGGAAUUACUGGGCGUAAAGGGCGCGUAGGCGGCCCUCUAAGUCAGACGUGAAAUCCCCCGGCUUAACCUGGGAACUGCGUCUGAUACUGGAGGGCUUGAGUAUGGGAGAGGGAUGUAGAAUUCCAGGUGUAGCGGUGAAAUGCGUAGAUAUCAAGAGGAACACCUGAGGCGAAGGCGGUUGCUAGGCUGACACUGACGCUGAGGCGCGAAAGCUAGGGUAGCAAACGGGAUUAGAUACCCAUGUAGUCCCUGAGCGGGCUGGCAAGGCGCAU
rnacentral:rRNA from 1 species